rnacentral:rRNA from 1 species
GUCGAACGGAACUGUUUUGAAAGAUUUCUUCGGAAUGAAUUUGAUUUAGUUCAGUGGCGGACGGGUGAGUAACGCGUGAGUAACCUGCCUUCAAGAGGGGGAUAACAUUCUGAAAAGAAUGCUAAUACCGCAUGACAUAUCGGAAUCACAUGGUUUUGAUAUCAAAGAUUUUAUCGCUUGAAGAUGGACUCGCGUCCGAUUAGUUAGUUGGUGAGGUAACGGCUCACCAAGACCGCGAUCGGUAGCCGGACUGAGAGGUUGAACGGCCACAUUAGGACUGAGACACGGCCCAGACUCCUACGGGAGGCAGCAGUGGGGGAUAUUGCGCAAUGGGGGCAACCCUGACGCAGCAACGCCGCGUGAAGGAUGAAGGUUUUCGGAUUGUAAACUUCUUUUAUUAAGGACGAAAAAUGACGGUACUUAAUGAAUAAGCUCCGGCUAACUACGUGCCAGCAGCCGCGGUAAUACGUAGGGAGCAAGCGUUGUCCGGAUUUACUGGGUGUAAAGGGUGCGUAGGCGGCUUUGCAAGUCAGAUGUGAAAUCUAUGGGCUCAACCCAUAAACUGCAUUUGAAACUGUAGAGCUUGAGUGAAGUAGAGGCAGGCGGAAUUCCCCGUGUAGCGGUGAAAUGCGUAGAGAUGGGGAGGAACACCAGUGGCGAAGGCGGCCUGCUGGGCUUUAACUGACGCUGAGGCACGAAAGCGUGGGUAGCAAACAGGAUUAGAUACCCUGGUAGUCCACGCUGUAAACGAUGAUUACUAGGUGUGGGGGGUCUGACCC